rfam:Haemophilus pittmaniae HK 85 ctg1129913985436, whole genome shotgun sequence.
UUGAACGCAUUAUGACCACCCAAAUUAUUAUGACCAUUAUUACGAUGAUGGGGCGGGCUAGUGCGUAAAUAACAGGACAACAAAAACCCGCAUUCACUAAAAAAUGCGGGUUUUUUUAUG